rnacentral:rRNA from 1 species
UACAGAGGGGUGCAAGCGUUAAUCGGAUUUACUGGGCGUAAAGGCGCGACGUAGCGGCUAAGUUAAGUCAAAUUGUGAAAUCCCCGAGCGUUAAACUUGGGAAUUGCAUUCGAAUACUGGUUAGCCUUAGAGUGUGGGGAGAGGAUGGUAGAAAUUCCAGGUGUAGCGGUGAAAUGCGUAGAGAUCUGGAGGAAUACCGAUGGCGAAGGCAAGC